UACGUAGGGGGCAAGCGUUGUCCGGAUUUAUUGGGCGUAAAGAGCGUGUAGGCGGCUAGGUAGGUCCGUUGUGAAAACUCGAGGCUCAACCCCGGAACUGCAUCCGAUACUGCGUGGCUAGAGGUAGGUAGGGGAGAUCGGAAUUCCUGGUGUAGCGGUGAAAUGCGCAGAUAUCAGGAGGAACACCAAUGGCGAAGGCAGCUCGCUGGGACGGUACUGACGCUGAGACGCGAAAGCGUGGGGAGCAAACAGG
rnacentral:rRNA from 1 species